CGCUCAUCCAGAGGGGCAGAGGGAUACGGCCCGUUGAAGCCCCGGCAACCCUCCAGCCGGUCUUGCCGCAAGGACGCUGACGUCCCGCGCGCGAGGCUCCCGGCUAGGGAAGGUGCCAAAUCCGUCUCGUGGCGAGAUUCGCCGCGAGGAAGAUGAGGA
rnacentral:ncRNA from 2 species